rnacentral:rRNA from 1 species
ACGAACGCUGGCGGCAGGCUUAACACAUGCAAGUCGAACGCAUCCUUCGGGGUGAGUGGCAGACGGGUGAGUAACGCGUGGGGAUGUGCCCAGAGGUUUGGAAUAACUCAGGGAAACUUGAGCUAAUACCGGAUACGCCCUUAGGGGGAAAGAUUUAUCGCCUUUGGAUCAACCCGCGUCAGAUUAGCUAGUUGGUAGGGUAACGGCCUACCAAGGCGACGAUCUGUAGCUGGUCUGAGAGGAUGAUCAGCCACACUGGGACUGAGACACGGCCCAGACUCCUACGGGAGGCAGCAGUGGGGAAUAUUGGACAAUGGGCGCAAGCCUGAUCCAGCCAUGCCGCGUGAGUGAUGACGGCCUUAGGGUUGUAAAGCUCUUUUAACAGGGACGAUAAUGACGGUACCUGUAGAAUAAGCCCCGGCUAACUUCGUGCCAGCCGCCGCAGUAAUAC